UUGAGCGAUGUCAAUUUGAGUAUUGUUAGGGCUGUUUAGCGAUCUUUCACAUUUUGUCCUUUGAAAAUGUACGAUGUCAAUUACCCCGAAGUUGUUUUUAUCACUAAUAAAAGAGCACGGUCAUUGAAACAUACAUGGACGUAACCGGGAUUUCUUUAAGAUAUACAUUCCAAACUCUCACUCGUUUUGUGAUUUUAUCUUUGAAACAGUCUGCGUAUGAAUUAAUCACGACCACUUCCGUCAAUUUUGUUUUGACGUCAAAAACACGCACAAUUUCAUCGGGAUUUUUUAUCGGUAAAUAUAACUCACGGAAAAUUCUCAGUGAAUGUGUACUUCAACAUAAAUAUCAUAUGUCUAUCACUGUUAGGACAUGUACUUGCCAAUGAUAUGAAUUAUUGGUCAUUUAGAUUUCAAACAAGGGCGCUUACUUGACUUUGCUUGCCGUAUUCGGGUGCGUCCAUAUUACGAUUAAUGUUGAAAAGUAGGAAACUUAUAGUACCAGCACUUUUAUCGAUGGCUGGCCAGUGCAUAGAUCUUAGGGAUUUGGUGACUUUAGAUACUGUUGGAAAGACAAUCAACUCGAGUUGCAUGUUAUACAAUUUGGUUACACUGUGUGAAGAAAUAAAGACGUUGCAACACUUUUGAUACAAUGUAUACGUUUUUGUAACCGCGACGUAAGCACAGUGCGGCACUGAGCGGUUUGCAGGCUGACACGUCCAGGCACCAUGAGGGUUAAAAGUCACCUGUAGCUCUUAUGCAAGCCCAAAUAGAAAUACCAUGUCACAACAAACACUUGAUCAUAAUAAUAACAAAGGGUUUCCGAAAACAAAACUAAAAGGCCCUUGACGUUUACAGUAGUGACAUGGAGAUCAGGAAAAUAUCUAAAUCAAUCCAUUCCAUAAGAUCUCUGUAUAGAAAUCAUGGAACAUUAUGUCUCGAAGCCCUGCUACGUACCUGGCAUCCGCAAGCUGCUCUUCCUUCCAGCUUCCUUCGGCUGCCAAUCGAGUUUUCGAAAUACUUGACGUCCUCGUUGUGGAUGGCUCAGGUGGAUUUCGACCGGGAUUUCCGUGUUAGAGGUGAUUGAGAACAAUGUAUUGAUACACGAGGUAAGCAUAUCGCAAUCAAGCAUCACGGUGUACAUCGAUUACACGUGGUUUGAGUGUUUGUUUACAUUUGUGUUCCAAAAUGGCGCCCUCGGUCAUACAGGGAAUUAUGGGUAGACUUGCUUGUCCCGGAAUAACACGAGUUGGUCACGAAUGACGAGCGGUCAUUUCUGCAGCAGUUACGGAAAGAGACGAGGUUGGCCGAUUACAGUUCAUGCAGGCCAUAUUGGGAGCCGCGGGGAUUUCGACAGUGUGUAUUAGGAAGUAUAUCUAUGUGGUGUAUGGAAUAUGCGUUUGCCUACCAUGCCAGGCAGUGUGACAAGGGAUAUCCCAGCGGAUGUAAUAUUCCUACAGCAGAAAUGUUUCACAACCUCGAUUGCAGGGAGCUGAAGACGUGACAUAUUCAGACAGAGACCAUAAUAGACCAUAGACUGUUAUAUGGUCUCUGAAUCAGGUAAGGAAUAUGUUCAUAAUAUUGAUCACGUAUUAAAGUUAUUUAUCUUCUGUAAGCCACUUAUUCUCUUUAUAUAUGUUAGUAAAUGUGUGAUUUAAUUUUUGUAGGAUAAGCAAUCUACCUAACUUAUGUUAAUCCUUGCUAAUGUAUAUGAUGUAGAAAUAUGUUUGCUUACUUAUAUUCCUUUAUCUAGAUACUCUAAAGUGUCUCAUUUUAUUAGUUCAUCCCGUACCGACUAAACUUACUUUUGCAGGUGUGAAGAAUCAAGAACAAAUUACAUGACAGGAGUUUUGCAACAGUGAACAUUGUGAAGUGGAAGAUAAGACAUUUGAAAGGUACCUGGAUUUCACAAUCUGACACCAGCUACAUUUAAGAAGAUCUUGCUCACACAAUUCAGACAAGGGACUCGCCGGAUGAUGAACAGUACUCCUGAGAACAACCAACAGAUUCACCUCAGAAAGUGAUGAUUCUGAAUGAAUAAUGCCACACCAGUGUUACUGUAGGUGGUUUUAUUAUGACACUAAUGAAGUCUGAAUGAAUUCAUGCCAAAGCACUGUGACUAUGUCCAGUUUGUGUACACCGAUGCUGACUAUACAAAUCUGAAUGACUUUUGUGGUUUACUGCAGAAACAUAAUUGACUUAAGAUAUUCUUCUUCAAUAAAAUUCUUCUGAGAUUUGA